ensembl:rRNA 5S_rRNA 5S ribosomal RNA
UCCUAUGGCCAUACUACCCUGAACAAGCCCAAUCCCAUCUGAUCUCAGAAGUUAAGCAGGGUUGGGCCUGGUUAGUACUUGGAUGGGAGAUCACCUAGGAAAACCGGGUGCUGUAGGCA